CUCCAUGGAUACCUCUUGAGGUUUCUUCUUUUCGACCAACUUCAGUUUUUGUACCUUCUCAGUUUCAGUUUCAGUUUCCUUUUCAACUAGAUUUGGUUUUGGCACCAUUUGCUUGAUACUUUCCUCCCUGGGCACCUCUUUAGGUUUCUUCUUUUCGGCCAAGUUCAGUUUUGGUACAUUCUCAGCUUCAGCCUCCUUUUUGACCAACUUUGGUUUUGGCACCAUUUUGUCUAUACUUUUCUCCUUGGGUACCUCUUCAGGUUUCCUCUUUUCAGCAAAGUUCAGUUUUGGUAAAUUUUCUGCUUCAGCCUCCUUUUCAGCCAUGUUUGGUUUUGUCACCUUUUGCUCAACACUUUCCUCCGUGGGCACAUCUUCAGGUUUCUUAUUUUCGGCCAACUUCAGUUCUGGUACCUUCUCAGCUUCAUCUUCGACCAACUUUUGUUUUGGCACAUUUUUCUCAACACUUUCCUCCUUGGGCUGCUCAUCAAGUUUCUUCUUUUCAGCCAAAAUCAGUUUUGAUACCUUCUCAGCUUCAGCCUCCUUUACGACUAACUUUGGUUUUGGCACCUUUUGCUCAAUGCUUUUCUCCUUGGUUACAUCUUCAGGUUUCUUCUUUUCAGCCAAUGUCAGUUUUGGUACCUUCUCAGCUUCAGCUUCAGCAUCGACCAGCUUUGGUUUUGGCCCCUUUUGCUCAACGCUUACCUCUUCAGGUUUCUUCUUUUCAGCCAACUUUAGUUUUGGUACCUUCUCGGCUUCAGCUUCAGUCUCCUUUUCGACCAACUUUGGUUUUGGCACCAUUUGCUCAACACUUUCCUCCUUGGGUACCUCUUCAGGUUUCUUUGUUUCAGCCAACUUCUGUUUUGGUACAUUCUCAGCUUCAGCUUCAGCUUCAGCUUCGGUCUCCUUUUCGACCAAUUUUGGUUUUGGCACCUUUUGCUCAACACUUUCCUCCAUGGGUACCUCUUCAGGUUUCUUCUUUUCGACCAACUUCAGUUUUGGUACCUUCUUAGCUUCAGCUUCAGCUUCAGUUUGAAUCUCCUUUCCGACCAACUUUGGUGUUGGCACCAUUUCCUCCUUGGGUACCUCUUCAGGUUUCUUUUUUUCCAUGACCUUCAGUUUUAUUACAUUCUCAGCUUCAGCUUCAGCCUCCUUUUCGACCAACUUUGGUUUUGGCACCAUUUGCUCAACACUUUCCUCUCUGUGUACCUCUUCAGGUUUAUUCUUUUCAGCAAACUUCAGUUUUGGUACAUUCUCGGCUUCAGCUUCAGCCUCAGCCUCCUUUACGACCAACUCUGGUUUUGGUACCUUUUGCUGGACACUUUCCUCCUUGGAUACCUCAUCAGGUUUCUUCUUUUCGGCCAACUUCAGUUUUGGUACAUUCUCAGCUUUAGCUUCAGCUCCAGCCUCCUUUUCGACCAACUUUGGUUUUGGUACCAUUUGCUCUACACGUUCCUCAGGUACCUCUUCCAGUUUCUUCUUUUCAGCAAACUUCAGUUUUGGUAAAUUCUCAGCUUCAGCUUUAGCCUCAGCCUCCUUUUCGACCAACUUUGGUUUCGGCACCUUUUGCUCAACACUUUCCUCCAUGGAUACCUCUUGAGGUUUCUUCUUUUCGACCAACUUCAGUUUUUGUACCUUCUCAGUUUCAGUUUCCUUUUCAACUAGAUUUGGUUUUGGCACCAUUUGCUUGAUACUUUCCUCCCUGGGCACCUCUUUAGGUUUCUUCUUUUCGGCCAAGUUCAGUUUUGGUACAUUCUCAGCUUCAGCCUCCUUUUUGACCAACUUUGGUUUUGGCACCAUUUUGUCUAUACUUUUCUCCUUGGGUACCUCUUCAGGUUUCCUCUUUUCAGCAAAGUUCAGUUUUGGUAAAUUUUCUGCUUCAGCCUCCUUUUCAGCCAUGUUUGGUUUUGUCACCUUUUGCUCAACACUUUCCUCCGUGGGCACAUCUUCAGGUUUCUUAUUUUCGGCCAACUUCAGUUCUGGUACCUUCUCAGCUUCAGUCUCCUUUUGAGCCAUCUUUGGUUCU
rnacentral:lncRNA from 1 species